rnacentral:rRNA from 1 species
UACGAGUGCUUCAAGCGUUAUCCGGAAUCAUUGGGCGUAAAGGGUGUGUAGGCGGCGAUAUUAGUCUUGCGUUAAAUCUACCGGCUCAACCGGUAGGCUGCGUGGGAAACGGUAUUGCUUAGAGGGCGGAAGAGGUCUCUGGAACUCAUGGUGUAGCGGUGAAAUGCGUUGAUAUCAUGGGGAACACCAAAAGCGAAGGCAAGAGACUGGUCCGUUCCUGACGCUGAAACACGAAAGCGUGGGUCGCGAAUGGG